AAGUCGUACUGCUGACUGCAU
rnacentral:miRNA from 1 species